rnacentral:rRNA from 1 species
UACGUAGGGUGCAGGCGUUAAUCGGAAUUACUGGGCGUAAAGCGUGCGCAGGCGGCUCCUUAAGUCAGAUGUGAAAGCCCCGGGCUUAACCUGGGAACUGCGUUUGAAACUGGGGAGCUAGAGUGUAGAAGAGGGGGGGUGGAAUUCCAGGUGUAGCAGUGAAAUGCGUAGAUAUCUGGAGGAACACCGGUGGCGAAGGCGGCAUCCUGGACCGACACUGACGCUGAGGAGCGAAAGCCAGGGGAGCAAAGCGGG